rnacentral:rRNA from 1 species
UACGGGGGGUGCGAGCGUUGUCCGGAAUCACUGGGCGUAAAGGGCGCGUAGGUGGCGUGAUAAGGGUGUGGUGAAAGCCCGGGGCUCAACCCCGGGUCUGCCAUGCCGACUGUCAGGCUGGAGUACUGUAGGGGCAGGCGGAAUUCCCAGUGUAGCGGUGAAAUGCGUAGAUAUUGGGAGGAACACCAGUGGCGAAGGCGGCUUGCUGGACCGGUUCUGACGCUGAUGCGCGAAAGCGUGGGGAGCAAACGGG